rnacentral:rRNA from 1 species
ACGGGUGAGUAAUGUCUGGGAAACUGCCUGAUGGAGGGGGAUAACUACUGGAGACGGUAGCUAAUACCGCAUAACGUCGCAAGACCAAAGAGGGGGACCUUCGGGCCUCUUGCCAUCGGAUGUGCCCAGAUGGGAUUAGCUAGUAGGUGGGGUAACGGCUCACCUAGGCGACGAUCCCUAGCUGGUCUGAGAGGAUGACCAGCCACACUGGAACUGAGACACGGUCCAGACUCCUACGGGAGGCAGCAUG